CGCCCUUGUGCCAGCCGCCGCGGUAACACGUAGGAGGCAAACGUUAUCCGGAUUUACUGGGCGUAAAGCGCGUGUAGGUGGUUUGGUAAGUAGGGCGUGAAAGCUCCUGGCUCAACUGGGAGAGGACGUUCUAAACUGCCAAGCUUGAGGAUGGUAGAGGGAGGUGGAAUUCCGGGUGUAGCGGUGGAAUGCGCAGAUAUCCGGAGGAACACCAGUGGCGAAGGCGGCCUCCUGGACCACUCCUGACACUCAGACGCGAAAGCUAGGGUAGCAAACGGGAUUAGAGACCCCGGUAGUCCUAGCCCUAAACGAUGUAGACUUGGCGUCGGUGGUUUAAUCGCCAUCGGUGUCGUAGCUAACGCGAUAAGUCUACCGCCUGGGGACUACGGCCGCAAGGUUAAAACUCAAAGGAAUUGACGGGUCCCCGCACAAGCAGCGGAGCGUGUGGUUUAAUUCGAUGCUACACGAAGAACCUUACCUGGGUUUGACAUAGAGGUAGUAGGGAAGCGAAAGCGGACCGACCCUUCGGGGAGCCUCUACAGGUGUUGCAUGGCUGUCGUCAGCUCGUGUCGUGAGAUGUUCGGUUAAGUCCGCUAACGAGCGCAACCCUCGCUGUGUGUUACAAGUGUCACACGGUACUGCCGAUAUUAAGUCGGAGGAAGGUGGGGGAUGACGUCAAGUCAGCAUGACCUUUAUAUCCAGGGCUACACACACGCUACAAUGGCCAGUACAAUGGGUUGCCAAGCCGCGAGGCGGAGCCAUCCUAAAAAGCUGGCCUCAGUUCAGAUUGCAGGUCUGCAACUCGACUGCAUGAAGUUGGAGUUGCUAGUAACCGCAGGUCAGCAAUACUGCGGUGAAUACGUU
rnacentral:rRNA from 1 species